rnacentral:lncRNA from 1 species
AUAUUGAUGUUGAUCAUGACAUUGAGAUGCGAUGAUGUUGAUGUUGAUGAUGACAUUGAGAUGAAAUGAUGUUGAUGUUGAUGAUGUCAUUGUGAUGGAUGUAUGUUGUGUAUGUAUAUGGGGGGUGCAAUGACUAUGUUGGAUAUCCCUGGAGAAGGAAAAAUAUUGGUUUAAGAGUUAUAAUUAAGCAUCCCUAGCGUGGGAAGGGGAUUGCUUAGAAUUUUUAACUAUCCAAGGUUAGUGCAUUGAUGGUGCUCAUGUUUCAUACUGGAUAAUUGCAUGGAAAUAAUAUAAACUUUGUCAAUAAGUAUCUGUGGUUUUUUAUGAGGAAAAAAAGCAGGUACUUGGGGGCAUAUCACUCGGUUUGGAACUCUCUUGAGACCCAUGCUGAUCAACAUGUGGAGGAGUUACCUGUGCACGACAAGGUGACCUCGACACUUGCUGCCUAUUUUUCCUAAGUCUGAGUUUCAUGUGGACACGCUUAGGCUAUUUCCUGACGAAUGUCCCACGUUACAUUUGAGAAUUGAGUAAGGUGCAUGCAUAAUUUUGAGCAUAAUUGAUUUGAAUUGUGGAAAAAGUUGAUGACUAAUUUGUUAAUUGUAUGUUGAACUGAUGGAUUAUCGAGAAUGAUUAUGGUUAUUGUCAUUGUUUUCUUACUAAUCAUUGUCAUAUGGUGUUUGUUGAUCUUUUAUAAUAAACUCACUCUUACAAUUUUGUAACGUGUGUGAUGAGCGCGAACCUUUGUUCGUUGAAGCAGAUGAGCAACAUAAGUGAUGUUGGAGGGAGAUCCUUUUGUUGGAGCUGCCAAACCGAAGUUGAAAUUUAUUUUGGGAGAUAUUUGUGUUAUGUUAUCAACUCUCCCUUAGUUGGUUCCUUGAUUCUUUUUGAUUGGGCAUGUAAAUCUCAGAUUUAGAUACAUGUCAAAAAAUUGAAUUAUCUUCUAACAUGUGAAUGAUGUAA